rnacentral:rRNA from 1 species
GCUUGCUACUUGCUGACGACCGGCGCACGGGUGCGUAACGCGUAUACAAUUUGCCCUUUACUGGAGGAUAGCCCUAAGAAAUUGGGAUUAAUACUCCAUAAUAUUAUGAAUUCGCAUGUUUUCAUAAUUAAAGCUCCGGCGGUAAAGGAUGAGUAUGCGUCCUAUUAGAUAGUUGGUAAGGUAACGGCUUACCAAGUCAGCGAUAGGUAGGGGAUCUGAGAGGAUGAUCCCCCACACUGGUACUGAGACACGGACCAGACUCCUACGGGAGGCAGCAGUGAGGAAUAUUGGUCAAUGGAGGCAACUCUGAACCAGCCAUGCCGCGUGAAGGAAGACGGCCCUACGGGUUGUAAACUUCUUUUAUACACCAAGAAACGCAGGUACGUGUACCUGUUUGACGGUAGUGUAUGAAUAAGCACCGGCUAACUCCGUGCCAGCAGCCGCGGUAAUACGGAGGGUGCGAGCGUUAUC